rnacentral:rRNA from 1 species
GCUUAAUACAUGCAAGUCGAGGGAUUUACUUCAGUAAAGACCGGCGAACGGGUGAGUAACGCGUACACGACCUACCUUUAGCAGGGGGAUAGCCUAUGGAAACGUAGAUUAAUACCCCAUAGUAUCGAGAGAUUAAAGCUACGGCGGCUAAAGAUGGGUGUGCGUGUCAUUAGAUAGUUGGUAAGGUAACGGCUUACCAAGUCUACGAUGACUAGGGGGCGUGAGAGCGUGAUC